UACGUAGGGUGCAAGCGUUAAUCGGAAUUACUGGGCGUAAAGCGUGCGCAGGCGGUUAUGUAAGACAGAUGUGAAAUGCCCGGGCUUAACCUGGGAACUGCAUUUGUGACUGCAUGGCUAGAGUUUGGCAGAGGGGGGUAGAAUUCCACGUGUAGCAGUGAAAUGCGUAGAGAUGCGGAGGAACACCGAUGGCGAAGGCAGCCCCCUGGGCUAAGACUGACGCUGAGGCACGAAAGCGUGGGGAGCAAACAGG
rnacentral:rRNA from 1 species